UCCCCCGCCUGUGUGGCGACGCCGGCGAUCACGGGGGCCGUCUCCUCCGGUGGCUGAGCCCGCGUGCUCGCCUCGGCUUGCAGUUUCUGCGCGACGAUCGUAGUGGAAAGGUCGGUGACGGUGAGCAUUCCUGGCGCUGGGGAAUUUGGCUGCCCGCCAAGUGUUCGACGCAAUGCUAAAGCGUGGUGCAGCACUUCUAUCCAGAGUCAGCGUUCACGCGGAUGCCCAGGAUUCACAAUCUUGCUAUGUAAGAAGGCAAGGAGGCUGCUGUCUGCAAAAUAGGGCUUCAAAUGCCAGUGUCUUUGCAUCUCCUGCUUGCUAUGGACCAUUGACAUGGACAUGCUUGAAUCUCCAGGUUGAGAUCUAUGUCUCAUUUCUUAUGUGCAGACUUCGCUUAAUCAUCUACUAUGUAUCUUUGACUUCAUGCAUGUUCUAGGCAAGAAAUUCAAGCGUUCAAAGUGCAGCAAGUUGUUCACAGACAAAAGCAUCUCUAUUGAAUCAUUGUGGUCCUGACUCCUGAGACAUGCAAAUUGAUCAUUUCAUACUGCGUAUAUUUUGUGAUAGGUGAAGUGCUGAAGCUCUAAUCUCUUUGAAGUGACUAUAAUGUCCCUUAUUUAAGCUAACACCUCCGAGAACAGUUAUGGACCAUGAGUUUAGAAACUGGUAGCAACCUGCUGAUUAGCUGCGUUUCAGCUAGUUUUUGGCUCAACUUGAGGUGCUUGAUGAGUUCCGGAAGAUUUCUAUACUUUGAAAAUACUAUGCCAUGCUGUGUUUACAUAUUAACAUGAUGCAAACAUAGUUGCCAUACCAUGAUACAUAUGAUGCAAAAUUUGCUAAGUGGCCCAGAGCACCAAUAAGGCAAUAAGAAAGGCUAAAUUAAUGCAAAACAUGGUCGGUAUAAUUGUAUAUCACCCAUACAAACUACUAAAUCAACAUAAUUCACCCACAGAGAGCCCUAACUAAGCAUAAACCUUAACCCCUUAAUCGACCAGUUUCUUUGAAGCGGUACUUGCCAGUAAAAGUGGUUGCCAGCUUAACCUGACCACUAACUUCUACCAUUUUUUUUCCCAAGCCCUGUUUGCUACAACAACUUAUGCUAAAUAUGUUGUGAUAAAGGUUGGUGGAAAAUGGUUAAAUAGUUCCCAUGUAAAUAGAGUGUAAUCUUCAUACUUGCUAGGGAUCAGAUAAGAGAUGAAUAGAUGAUAUAGUGUCGGAUCAUGAUCUUGCUAUUCCUUAGUGAAAAAUUAAUUUACUUACUUGGUUUUGCUAUUCGCAAUAUGUCGGCUUACUACUGCACCCAGUGUAUUUGCAAUCAGCAUAUCUGGAGAUCUUCACCAUCUUGUUCUGAGUCAUCAUCUGCCAUAUGGUUAUUAGGUUGACUGAGCAUCCCCAGAACAGAAAAAUGCUAACAUAUCUUAAUUUAGUUGACUGUUUGAGUUGAUUAACGUGGCCUUUAUUGAAUAAGUGCAUUUGGUCUACUUCACCUUAUGUGAGUUGUCGAGAUCAUUGGUUAUCACUCUUUUCUAAUGAUGAUAAUGUUGGAAAGGAUUUUGGUAGUUUUAGGUGUUUUGCGGAUUUGAAACUCACAGAUUCGAAUUUAAAUUGUUGUAUACUGUAUAUAUCGCGGGCGUGCUAGUAUACUCAAAGUAUACAAAAGAACAGAAAAAAAAACUGCAAUUGAAACACGUAACUUUAUUCAUUCAUUAUUGAAAUCAUAAAGUACAGUUUCGUCUGUUACAAUUAUUCUACACGCGUACAAACACACAUGCUAUUUGACUACUUCUUUGACGAUUGCUUCAUCCUGGUUCCCAGGGCCUCGUGAGGUUUCCGGUUAAUUACGUCCGGCUCAUCCGGACAAUCUCCGAUUAAGCCGCUGUAUUGGUCGUCAUUAAGUCAUCUCCGAGUCUGCAAGGCUGUAGUCACACGCAUUGCAGACAAAACAGAGUGAGUGUUAGAAGACAAAUAACAGUAAAAGACGAGACAAACAGUCUAGUAUGAGCUUUAUGAACUGUUUAUAUAUCCCGAAUCAUCAUCGGCUACGUAGGCCUCAGAAUUUGUAGUCCCUCAUCAUCGGCCUCGGCCUCAGGUUCUACAGGAGAAUGGAGGGAGAGAGAAUCUAGCUACACAGCAGUUUACCGGCUACAACCUCGUGGGAGCCCGGUGAACUGUGGUGUUUCCAAACUCCUAUCUACGACCUCUAACUUCAGCCCUCAAGCAACCUAGCCACUAAGGCAAACGCCACCAAGGCGAAAGGGUAAUAACAAUGGCAACCAACUGUUGGGCCUCCACCAAGUCAUCGGCCAAACCACUGAACAAUGAGUUCAUUGAUCAUCAUUGGUCUUCUACCAAUAAAACAGCGAUAAAAAGGGCCUCAUGUCCAUGUUACAAAAUUCACAAACAGCAGGGUCACAAUGACAGGACCACAGCAGCAGAAGACAGGCCACAACAGAUCAACCAACAAAAGAUCUCAAGGAGCUAAAACCUCAAUUCUGCGUGACUAACAGAAGGAAGCCCUCAUCACCAGCUCCGUGAACCAACAUAGAGGCACAAUAGGCACAUGAUCAUCAAUAGCAAAAGGUCAUACACAGUCGAGCAUUAAAGCCAAAACAGCAAGAUACUCGCAUAUGCACUCGAGGGCCGAUAACAGAACCGGGCCACAGACAUUUGACAAUACCAACAACAUGGUUGUGUAUAUGGAUGAUAACAGAAAUGGCAGCACUAGGGUCUCCAGCUCACUAGCAACCAACCAAAACAACUGCCAACCUUGCCAUUCAUCACAGAAAACAGCACAACAGCACCCAAUCGGCAUGACAGCACAGAUAGUGCUCGGACACCCAACCGGUAGCCAUCGCAAGCCGGCAGCACUCGAACUCCCAGCCGGCGAAACACACAGGUUCCACGGCUAUGGCGCAAACCGGCUGGAAAACACCUCGACGAUCACGGCACGAAGGCCGGCCAGAACACAUCUCAGAUCAGAAAAAGAACAACGGCGGCCCAUAUGAACAGAGGCACACGACUCAAUGGCAGUGUGUGCCGAGGCACAGCCCAAACGCCGGCACGGCCAAGACACUUGUUCUCACACAGACACAGCAUUCAGCAUAAGCACCCGGCGGCUCCCAGACACCCGGCCGGCUUGCCGGCGGCCCUCUGGCUCCCAGCCGGUGACCCAUGAUCACUGCAGCACAUCUCCACAGUCACGACAACGAGGGCCAGCCGGAUUUCAUCACAGAACAAGAGAACCCGAUGACCAAAUCAACACAGCACAUCUCCACGGUCGCGGCAACGAGGUCGGCCGGAACCCAAGUUGACGGCCAUGGCUCAAAGCUGGCCAGAACAAUACCAAACAAAACUCGAUGCGCUCAUGCUGCGCGGAGGCAUGCACGGCCAAAAGCAAAGCCAAACUCACGCGCUUGCACGGCACGAAGCACACACGACCGGAGACCAACACAAACCAGAGAGAACCAACGACAGCUCGCAUAGCGGCGGCACACUCUCCAAGGCCACGGUGCAAGCGCCGGCCAGGACCCAGCUCUAUGACCACGGCACGAAGGCCAGCCAGCACACCUGUAUAACACGCGAUCACAUCACGAGGCCGACCGGAGUUCACACCUCAAUCUCACGUGGUCGCGGCACAAGGCCGGCCAGAACACCUGCUCGCACUGACGCGGCGCAAACGCCGGUCGUCACCUGUAGCAAGGAAAAAGGGGAUGAAAGGGGUGGUUACGGUAGGAACCCACCGCAUCGAGCACCAUCGACGGCGGCCAUUGGUGACGGCAAAAAGACCCGUGCGGCGAGGAUGCCUCUCUCGGUGGAUCUCCCUCCUCUCUCUUCCCUCUCUCUCUCGCCCUCUCUAGCUCUCUUCUUCCUCUCCCUCAGAUCCGGCCUUCCUCCUCUCUGUUUCCCCCCUCCCGACCUCUUAUAGCGGCGGCUAGGGCUUCCCUCACGGAGGAAUCCGAUAGGGGGCGCUCGGAUUUGGGGGAAGAGAUAGGGAUGAGGGAAGGGAUAAGCACGGGGGAAACGACCAAGCACGAGCGCGGCGCGGGGCGAGCACACUCGGCCGGCUCAAGCCCAGGGAGCAGGGAACGCGGGAGCGGCUCGGGCGCGUGGGGAAAGGCGGCGGCGCAAGUGGAUAUGGGAGAGGUGAAGAUGCAUGCGAGUAAGGGCGAAGGGAGAAGAAGCACAGGGCGGCGCGCCCUAGGGCAGGCAGCGGUGCGGAGGGGAUAAGGAGGAGAGGAAACGGGCUAGGCCGGCUCAAGCGGUAGAGAAGAGGGGAAGGGAUCGGGCCGUCCCAAAAGGAGAGAGGCCAGUCGGGAUUUUUUUUUUCUUUUCUUCUCUUUUUUUUAUAUGUACGCUACUGCAAAUAUACGACAAAAUGACAUCAUACAUUAGGUUCACUACUUCUUUGCAGAGACGCUCUAGCCGGUGACAUUACUGUUCAAGGAUUCUAAGAGUUAGAGUACCGAACUAGUUUCUGCUCACAUAAAUUAUGUGUUCAUUUGCGAAUCGAAACUUGUAGGGACUUAAGGAAAACUAUUUUGUUGUUACGGUGAAGUCAAAGAGCGUCGACCAGAAAUCAGUGGCAGACCCAAGAUUCAUAGAAUGGGUAUUCAAACUUAAAAAAAAAUUAACAGAAAAGGCCACAAAUUUACAAUAAUAUAACUGUUCUACCUAACAAGUUGUAAUUCACAGUGUUUCGAGUUGUAACUGGGGGAUGUGCGCAGUGCGAAUAACAAGUUGUAACUCACAGUGUUAGCUUCUUGUGUUGCAAUUAUGCAUUUUUGGACGUGAAGUUGUAACUGGUCUACCUAGUUGUAACUCAUAGUGUUUCAGGUUGUAACUGGGGGAUGUGCGCGGUGCGAAUAACAAGUUGUAACUCACAGUGUUAACUUCUCGUGUUGCAAUUAUGCAUUUCUGGACGUGAAGUUGUAACUGGUCUACCUAACAAGUUGUAACUCACAGUGUUUCGGGUUGUAACUGGGGGAUGUGUGCAGUGCAAAUAGCAACUGCGCAUAGACGCAGAAUAGCCUCGCCGUAUAUAUAUAUAUUCUUGUGAGUUGAUACAGAUUCCUCUCUACAUAUAUAGAAUGAUUGGGGAUGCAUCAUGUGAGAAUUCAUCCUAAGUUAUGAGACUAUAAAUUUGCGAUCUGAGGCAUCCGAUGGGACUUUAGAUAGCUCAUCUAGACGUUGCUCUGCGAAAGAAAGUACCGAUUUUUUUAGCUUGCGUUUGAGUCCUCCGUGCCUACCACCUCUCUCAGAUGCUUCGAUUCUGAGCUUUCCAAGGCCCAGCCUGGCAGAUUAAACUGCGAGUCUGCAUCAUCCUAUUCUAUGUCAAGUUCUCAUCUGACAUGUUCCUUAGAAUGAUCCACCAUGAAAUGAAGCAUGUGUGGCUGAGUACCAUGGUUGCAUGACUAGUUGAACCAUACUUUUUAAAUUAGUGUUUGAGUAAGAGGUUCAUUGUGAAACUGUUGUGAUUCGAAGCCAAAUAACUUUAGUUCCAUGUUCCAUCCUCGAAUGCUUGAGACUUAAGACAUGGCAGUUUUUCUCCGUCCAAUAUUCUCAACAGUACGGUUCUUUGAAUGUCAUGGCUUUCUUAUUUUUGCUGCCAAUAGCUAUCCAUUUUUCAUUAUAAGGAUUGAGUGGAUCAUGGCUGGCUCUUUGCAACAAAUUUCGAAUAUAUUGAGAUUUGUGCUGCUUCAGUUGCUGCCUGCAUUAUUAUUAUUGCCUAUUUACUGUAGAGCAUUGUCUUGUUUUGCGUACCUGAUUUCGGCCAAACAUGUUCAAACAUGUUCAACUCAGUUGUUUCAUGCUAGCUUGAACUGAACUAGAGUACAACACCCAUUUGAUCUGAUCAGAGAGGUUUAGCGAGCUUAGCUUAACAUGCCCGACAUGACAUGAUCAACUGCCACUUGGUUGUUUCCCCUUCCCAAAUGAAAACUACUCCAAAUGUACGUCUGAAUCACCAGACAUCUAUGACCACUUUUUGUGAUAUUUGAAUAUUACAUCUGAGUUUGUUCUUCUGUAAUACGCAUGUUACCCCAGCUACUAAAUGUCAUUUACUUUUGACCGUACUGGUUUUCAUGAAUUUGAGAUCUGCCAUCAAACUAGGUGGUGCAUGCAUCUGGAUUGCAGCAAUGACAACAAAAUGGACACUACUAAGAAAUUACAGUGGUUAAAAUGCUUACCAAAAUUCAAAAGGAAAAAUAUGUUUGGUUCCAGUCAAAGUCAAAGGGGGAGAGCUCACCUGCAACUAGGCCAAUUCCUUUUUUAAUAAUCGUCAUCAUGAGAGGAUGACAAAGAUUUCACUGUUUUAAUCAACACUAGAAUAUCUUAACGGGCUUAUAAUAUUUAGUCGAUGACGCGCACGAGUGCACUUCCCGAGCUUUCCAGCUAUAUGUGUCGAAUCAUAUCACGAGGUGCAUGGAAAAAAUAUUAAUCUUAUGUUCUGAUCUCGAGAUGAUCUGAGUAGGCAUUACUGAGGGAUUCAUUAGUUAAAAUUAGAAUUGCUCAACUUCCAAUGGUUGAAGUUUAUUUUAACUUUAUGUUCUGAAGCAAAAUGUAAUCAACAAGAUCCAACAGUGUUGUCUUGCUACAAUACGAUUGCUUGCAUGGAAACUGCUGUAAUCUUAAGAAGUUUGUACCUUUUUCCUCUAACCAUUUGGUUGUAGACAAGUAAAUGUGCAAUGGAAGGUAAACAAACAACUUUCAAGCUUUUGUUUGGUAGGAGAAAGUUGUUCUCUCUGUAAAUUGACCUUUACAACUGCAUCUUUUUGCUAUGUUUGACCACCUCUUGCCUAUGGAAAUAUAUAACUAGCCAGGGAUUACAUUUAUUACAAGAAGAAAGUAUUUCUAGGAUCCCAUUUUUGGCAUCUACAUUGCAUUUUUUAUGUGCUACUGCAUUGCAUCAUGAAUUCUUGAGAUUAUAGAAGAUGUAAAUGGGUUGGAAAAACUUUGAUUCAUCGCAGUUGCUUCAUGACUUGUCAUUUUAUUAAAUCUUCUGUGUGUAAUUCCAUAAAUUAUUUCCCCUUAUUUCUGUUUAAGUGUAACAACUGGUAAUAUUUUGAACAUGCUUGCAGCAUUUUUUGCUAGACUUGAGGCUACUAUAAAAUGUUUCACUGAUUUUAUUGAUGGUUAUACAUGAUAAAAUGUUAACCGCUAUAUUCUGUUCCACUCCAUUGAAAACUUUAGGUGGUUGCUAGUUACUAAUUCGCAAAAACAGUCUGCAAGUGCCCAUAAUUCCAACAAAGAUCUGACUUGAUUCCAAGUGUGACUAGAUAUGGCGAUGACAUUCGAAUGCUGUUUUGUUUGUUUGCAGGCUAUGACAGGUUUAGUUUCAGUUAUAUGGUAGAAAGAACCUUCACUUUUAAAAUAACCCCUCUGUUUACUCCAGUACGUAAAAUUGUGGAUGCAAAAGGAAAAUUUAUAUGCUUGUUCCUUUGCUUAGCUGCAAAAUUACACUCUUAAGACUUAGCUAUUGAAUCUACGUAUAAAUACCUGUAUUUGUGUAUUUAUUCCUGGUCGUAGUUGUAGGCAUGUCAAGCAUAAAGAACAAUGGCAUAAUGGAUAUUUGGAUACCAUGUCUAAAUAUUAGUCUUAGUUAAGGACCUAAUAAAAAAUUGCGGACAGCUUUUAGUUUUCUGAACAAUAACAACAGCAUACUUAAAGAACUAAGGAGAAGGGGAUAACACGAACUAUGUUGAAGCGUACAUAUAUAUGAACUGGUGCAUCAACUUGAAGAAUUUGAGUGCAAUUGCCUCUAGUGAUGUACAUUGAAAUCACAUGGUUCCAUCGAGACAAAAUUCUGUCAGUAGUGCACCAGCUUAGUCCAAGAGAUAAAUAACAUGAAAGAAGUGAAGAAAAGGAAAAACUAUUUAAUUCUUGAUUUUAUUAGCACAAAGGUGAUCUAUGUGGAACCCCUUUCCUUCUGCUCAUGUUUGUGGCUAUGUCAUCAUCAGAGACUCGAUUUGCAGACCGUGCACAAAUAUAUGGUCCACUCUGCUUUUUGCGGACAAAAUUUGUGCACGGUGUGCUCAAAUUCUCAGAGUCUGAUGAUUCCAUGGGCUCAUCAACAUCAACGAGGGUUGAGUGAGUCGUGUCAUCAUCAGCAUCAUGAGGAAUGAAGAAGUCAGGGCCAAGCUGUAAGAUCUUGCAUGGGCGCAAGUAUGCUGACAAAUCUUUCUUCUGCCGUAGUAUAUACUCUACCUGAAAAAUUGCCAAUUGUCAAAUAAUUUUCAUAUUCAUGUCUUAGAAAUUUACAGUGAGCUUCAUCGCAUUUAAUAGCUCUCUGAACAAAUUUUGGACAAAUUUACUGACAUAAAUUUUUCACAUUUGUCUUUGUAGUGCUAUCCUAAUGAUGUGGGCAGAUUCUUCAGGUAGAAACAGACUGACAUGGAUAUUGCAUGAGAAACAAGGACAUAUACUUCUCUUGCUAGGUACCUUAUAGAUCAUAAUUGUUCUGCUCCUCUCAUUUAGCAUGAAUUAUGCUCUCUUAUUUGCUCAGCAAUCAUAAUUCAAUUACGUAAAGUCACACAGAAUAACCAUUGAUUAUUAGUUCUAGUUAAUUACCUUGCAAUCCAGAGAACAGUGAAAAUAGGGCUCUUGAAGGCUCCUGUCACAGGAGUCUGCUUGCAGCUUGAACCUCAGAGGCUCAGACAACAAUAAUCAGAAUCACAUGCAUGCGCGAAGCACAUUUGAUGUACCUGAACACUGGAGCAAUCAAUAAGCUUCUCAAGGUCCUCCAGCCGGACAACGUCGUGGUAGACGUAUCGCCGUACCUGCAGGAGCCGGUGUACACGGUGUGCUGCCACACAGUGUGGGCAGAUGCUGGUGCAGCAGUCAAUGCAACAGAUGUUCUUUUCGUUCUUCUUGGCAUGCUCAUGGAAAGAGCAUGCUACGAAGAACUUCUGUGUGUUGAGGGCCUGUAACCAUGCUGGCUUCCACAUUGCCUGCUGAUGUUUCAAAAUUCCAAACAGUUUUUGCAUCAAUAAAUGGAGAAUUCCUAUGAGAAUUCACAGGAGAGCACGGAGAAGGUUAGAAUCCUUACCAUGAUCAUGUAUGUAGGUGUAAAGCCCUCUGGUGUUGUGUGUGUUCUGGGUUGGACGGGGUAGAGAGCUUUGAAGAAGAGAGAUAUGUCUUAGCUUAUGAAGGAUGGGAGGUGGGGUGUUUAGUGGGUUAAGAAGUAUUAAAGACUCAACCAGGAGAGGGGGCUAUAUAUUUGCAUCACUAAGGCUUUUGACAAUUGACUCCUUAAUCUAUGGCACUAUCAUGGAAUGCACCUUGCUUUAUGACAGUGAUAGGCAUGUGUAGUUACUUUGUGAAUCAAAUUUAGAACAUGUUCCGGAAUUGCUGUUGUAGGUGCUGGGAUGUAAUAUUUCAAAAGGAGGAACUGUUUUAUAAAA